rfam:Gossypium hirsutum cultivar TM-1 chromosome 1, whole genome shotgun sequence
AACCCAUGGUGAGGGCAUAUUCUUAGUAAGUCUUUAUACCUCUCCUAUGCGUCGUAUAAAGUUUCUAAAUCCAUCUGCACAAAAGAAGAGAUAUUGUUCCUCAAUUU